rnacentral:rRNA from 1 species
GAUGAACGCUGGCGGCGUGCCUAACACAUGCAAGUCGAGCGAUUCUCUUCGGAGAAGAGCGGCGGACGGGUGAGUAACGCGUGGGUAACCUGCCCUGUACACACGGAUAACAUACCGAAAGGUAUGCUAAUACGAGAUAAUAUACUUUUAUCGCAUGGUAGAAGUAUCAAAGCUUUUGCGGUACAGGAUGGACCCGCGUCUGAUUAGCUAGUUGGUAAGGUAACGGCUUACCAAGGCGACGAACAGUAGCCGACCUGAGAGGGUGAUCGGCCACAUUGGAACUGAGACACGGUCCAAACUCCUACGGGAGGCAGCAGUGGGGAAUAUUGCACAAUGGGCGAAAGCCUGAUGCAGCAACGCCGCGUGAGCGAUGAAGGCCUUCGGGUCGUAAAGCUCUGUCCUCAAGGAAGAUAAUGACGGUACUUGAGGAGGAAGCCCCGGCUAACUACGUGCCAGCAGCCGCGGUAAUAC